rnacentral:rRNA from 1 species
GACGUAGGAGGCGAGCGUUGUCCGGAUUCAUUGGGCGUAAAGAGCGCGCAGGCGGCUUGGUAAGUCGGAUGUGAAAUCCCGAGGCUCAACCUCGGGUCUGCAUCCGAUACUGCCCGGCUAGAGGUAGGUAGGGGAGAUCGGGAAUUCCUGGUGUAGCGGUGAAAUGCGCAGAUAUCAGGAGGAACACCGGUGGCGAAGGCGGGUCUCUGGACAGUUCCUGACGGCUGAGGCACG